rnacentral:rRNA from 1 species
AUGGAUGGACUUGCUCCGAUGAACAUAAUAACAGACCAGGAUUUUAGCAUGCGUGCAGGCAUAGAGGAGGUCUUUCCAUUGGCAGUGCACAGGCACUGCAGGUGGCACAUUAUAAAGAAGGCUGAGGAGACGCUAGGACCGUUUUUUGCUGACCGUCUAGAGUUGCACAAGGCAUUCGAGCUGUGCGUGGACCACAGCUUGACGGUGGAGGAGUUUGAAAGGAGCUGGAUGGCCAUGAUUGAAACAUAUCAAGUCCAAGACAACGAGACUCUUGCUAGCCUGUGGGAGAAGCGAAUGUACUGGGUGCCGGCCUACUUCAUGCAGUGCUUCUUCCCGUUUCUGCAGACUACACAGCACAGCGAGGGGUUCAAUGCUGUUUUGAAGUGGUACGUGAGCCCUGGCAACUCAUUGCUAUAG